rnacentral:rRNA from 1 species
UACAGAGGGUGCAAGCGUUGUUCGGAAUUAUUGGGCGUAAAGAGCUCGUAGGCGGUGUGUCGCGUCGGCCGUGAAAACCUGCAGCUUAACUGUGGGCUUGCGGUCGAUACGGGCAUCACUGGAGUUCGGCAGGGGAGACUGGAAUUCCUGGUGUAGCGGUGAAAUGCGCAGAUAUCAGGAGGAACACCGGUGGCGAAGGCGGCUUCUGGGCCUUACCUGACGCUGAGACGCGAAAGCGUGGGGAGCGAACCGA